UACGAAGGGGGCUAGCGUUGCUCGGAAUCACUGGGCGUAAAGCGCACGUAGGCGGAUUGCUAAGUCGGGGGUGAAAUCCUGGAGCUCAACUCCAGAACUGCCUUCGAUACUGGCGAUCUUGAGUCCGGGAGAGGUGAGUGGAACUCCGAGUGUAGCGGUGAAAUUCGUAGAUAUUCGGAAGAACACCAGUGGCGAAGGCGGCUCACUGGCCCGGUACUGACGCUGAGGUGCGAAAGCGUGGGGAGCAAACAGG
rnacentral:rRNA from 1 species